rnacentral:rRNA from 1 species
CAACUGAUUUGAAGAGCUUGCUCAGAUAUGACGAUGGACAUUGCAAAGAGUGGCGAACGGGUGAGUAACACGUGGGAAACCUACCUCUUAGCAGGGGAUAACAUUUGGAAACAGAUGCUAAUACCGUAUAACAAUGACAACCGCAUGGUUGUUAUUUAAAAGAUGGUUCUGCUAUCACUAAGAGAUGGUCCCGCGGUGCAUUAGCUAGUUGGUAAGGUAAUGGCUUACCAAGGCGAUGAUGCAUAGCCGAGUUGAGAGACUGAUCGGCCACAAUGGGACUGAGACACGGCCCAUACUCCUACGGGAGGCAGCAGUAGGGAAUCUUCCACAAUGGGCGAAAGCCUGAUGGAGCAACGCCGCGUGUGUGAUGAAGGGUUUCGGCUCGUAAAACACUGUUGUAAGAGAAGAAUGACAUUGAGAGUAACUGUUCAAUGUGUGACGGUAUCUUACCAGAAAGGAACGGCUAAAUACGUGCCAGCAGCCGCGGUAAUACGUAUGUUCCAAGCGUUAUCCGGAUUUAUUGGGCGUAAAGCGAGCGCAGACGGUUAUUUAAGUCUGAAGUGAAAGCCCUCAGCUCAACUGAGGAAUUGCUUUGGAAACUGGAUGACUUGAGUGCAGUAGAGGAAAGUGGAACUCCAUGUGUAGCGGUGAAAUGCGUAGAUAUAUGGAAGAACACCAGUGGCGAAGGCGGCUUUCUGGACUGUAACUGACGUUGAGGCUCGAAAGUGUGGGUAGCAAACAGGAUUAGAUACCCUGGUAGUCCACACCGUAAACGAUGAGUGCUAGGUGUUUGAGGGUUUCCGCCCUUAAGUGCCGCAGCUAACGCAUUAAGCACUCCGCCUGGGGAGUACGACCGCAAGGUUGAAACUCAAAGGAAUUGACGGGGACCCGCACAAGCGGUGGAGCAUGUGGUUUAAUUCGAAGCAACGCGAAGAACCUUACCAGGUCUUGACAUCCCUUGACAACUCCAGAGAUGGAGCGUUCCCUUCGGGGACAAGGUGACAGGUGGUGCAUGGUUGUCGUCAGCUCGUGUCGUGAGAUGUUGGGUUAAGUCCCGCAACGAGCGCAACCCUUAUUACUAGUUGCCAGCAUUCAGUUGGGCACUCUAGUGAGACUGCCGGUGACAAACCGGAGGAAGGUGGGGAUGACGUCAAAUCAUCAUGCCCCUUAUGACCUGGGCUACACACGUGCUACAAUGGCGUAUACAACGAGUUGCCAACCCGCGAGGGUGAGCUAAUCUCUUAAAGUACGUCUCAGUUCGGAUUGUAGGCUGCAACUCGCCUACAUGAAGUCGGAAUCGCUAGUAAUCGCGGAUCAGCACGCCGCGGUGAAUACGUUCCCGGGUCUUGUACACACCGCCCGUCACACCAUGAGAGUUUGUAACACCCAAAG